rnacentral:tRNA from 1 species
GCGGGGUGGAUCAGCCUGGUAGCUCGUCGGGCUCAUAACCCGAAGGUCGUCGGUUCAAAUCCGGCCCCCGCAACCA